CAGUCGCCGCGGUAAUACGUAGGUGGCAAGCGUUGUCCGGAAUUAUUGGGCGUAAAGGGCUCGCAGGCGGUUUCUUAAGUCUGAUGUGAAAGCCCCCGGCUCAACCGGGGAGGGUCAUUGGAAACUGGGAAACUUGAGUGCAGAAGAGGAGAGUGGAAUUCUACGUGUAGCGGUGAAAUGCGUAGAGAUGUGGAGGAACACCAGUGGCGAAGGCGACUCUCUGGUCUGUAACUGACGCUGAGGAGCGAAAGCGUGGGGAGCGAACAGGAUUAGAUACCCCAGUAGUCCCUGUCUCUUAUAA
rnacentral:rRNA from 1 species